rnacentral:rRNA from 1 species
UACAGAGGUGGCAAGCGUUGUUCGGAAUUACUGGGCGUAAAGGGCGCGUAGGCGGCCUUCUAAGUCAGACGUGAAAUCCCCAGGCUUAACUUGGGAACUGCGUCUGAUACUGGGAGGCUUGAAUGCGGGAGAGGGAUGUGGAAUUCCAGGUGUAGCGGUGAAAUGCGUAGAUAUCUGGAGGAACACCGGUGGCGAAGGCGGCAUCCUGGCCUGUUCUUGACGCUGAGGCGCGAAAGCUAGGGGAGCAAACGGG